CAAAGGCUUGGUCCUGACUUUACUAUCAGCUUUAACU
rnacentral:rRNA from 1 species